rnacentral:rRNA from 1 species
GAUGAACGCUGGCGGCGUGCUUAACACAUGCAAGUCGAACGGAAAGGCUCCUGCUUGCAGGGGUACUCGAGUGGCGAACGGGUGAGUAACACGUGGGUGAUCUGCCCUGCACUUCGGGAUAAGCCUGGGAAACUGGGUCUAAUACCGGAUAGGACGAUGGUUUGGAUGCCAUUGUGGAAAGUUUUUCGGUAUGGGAUGAGCUCGCGGCCUAUCAGCUUGUUGGUGGGGUAAUGGCCUACCAAGGCGUCGACGGGUAGCCGGCCUGAGAGGGUGUACGGCCACAUUGGGACUGAGAUACGGCCCAGACUCCUACGGGAGGCAGCAGUGGGGAAUAUUGCACAAUGGGCGCAAGCCUGAUGCAGCGACGCCGCGUGGGGGAUGACGGCCUUCGGGUUGUAAACUCCUUUCGCUAGGGACGAAGCGCAAGUGACGGUACCUGGAGAAGAAGCACCGGCUAACUACGUG